ACAUAGCACUAAGCACACUGGUCUAGAGAAAUCAUGUUAGCGUCGCCGGGCUAGUAGGUGAGCUCACGGGGCUCAAACCUGAUGAUGUUGCUAACACUGGCCUUAGCAAGAGCAGUGCUUCGCAGAAUCUACCACCGGAUCGGUACCUAUAGAAUUGAGACGUAAUAACUCCUUUCUAAAGGCGAUGUCUUUCGUUUAUUUAGUUAAAUAAUAAAUUCAUUGAAAUUAUGUUAAUUUUGUCAUCACAAUUCUAGUUAUAAGUACAUUUUAUGUAUGGUUAACGUUGAACAAAAAAAAUAAACAGUUUUGAUACUUAUCGUUGUUUUAUUAAUUAUGUUUAGAUGUGGAUUGAUCUUUGAUUAAAAAGCUCUCAAUUUAAUUUAAGUCUCGCAAUAUAAUUGAACUUCGAUCUUCGAGACAGCCAAAAAUACAUUAGGCAUGCUCUUUUUCUCGCGAUCAGAAUUACUUUUGCGGAUAUAAUAAUAUAAUAAAUAAGAAGAAAAAGACAAUUGCCUUUCACGUAAAUUUAGAUUAUUACAGGUAUAUAAAUGAGAGAGAGAGAGAGUAAAGGCUUUGAAAGAAGUUAUGGGCUCAGUUGACGCCAUUCAAAGUGGACGCGUCGUGUAACGCUGAUUUUAACCCAACCCUUUGAUUUAUUGUGAGAUUUGAAGCUGGGUACGUAGGAAUUAAUGUAAAACUAUAAUAAAAACAAGAAGACAAGAUAAAAUACGUACAGGCUCAAGUAAGGAAACAAUGGGAAAAAUAAUAUUUGGAUACAGAACAAAAUGAAUGUGUCCAGUUUGCUAUAAUGUAAGAAUACUUUCGAUUUUUUAGUGGCAAUAACGUAUAGUGACAGCGUAGGAGGAAGCUAAUAGCAGUUGACGUUUCAGAUUAGGGCUGUCUAGACAACGGCUCACGGGCCACAUGCUGGUGUUCACGCGGCCCGCCACGAAUGUUUUAAUCAGAAAAUAGUUGUAGAAAUACACACUAUACAAAGGAUGAGACGUCCGGUGCAUUCGUAUGUAGCGAUACACCGGUGUUCGAAUCCCGCAGGCGGGUACCAAUUUUUGUAAUGAAAUACGUACUUGACUAAUGUUCACGAUCGACUUCCACGGUGAAGGAAUAACAUUGAGUAAUAAAAAUAAAAACCCGGAAAAUUUUAAUUUGCGUAAUUACCGGCGGUAGAACCUCUUGUGCCAUGAAGCAGUAAUGCGUUUCGGUUUGAAGGGCGGGGCAGCCGUUGUAACUAUACUUGAGAUCUUAGAACUUAUAUCUCAAGGUGGGUGGCGCAUUUACGUUGUAGAUAUCUAUGGACUCCAGCAACCACUAAACACCAGGUGGGCUGUGAGCUCGUCCACCAAUCUAAGAAAUAAAAAAACCUUGACUUCAUACACCAACUUCUCGAGCACAUUUUAAAGAUUCAUCCCAAAAAGAUCCAUUGUGAUUUAUCAACCUAAAUUCACACUAUCAAACUUUCACCAUAUAAAUAAAACAAAAGGCAUAUUUUUAUUAUUUAUAUAAUUUUUUUUUUGUUUUGUUUACAAUACUUUUAUAUAAGGAAAGAAAUUAACACACAGACACCACAACGUAAGCGGAAAAAUAUAAAAAAAAGUUAAAGAAUGAAAAAAAAAAACGUCAUUAUUAUCGCAUAUAUUAUGAUCCCGGGGGAUUACGGGAUCGUCCCAUCCCGGUGGGUAAAACGACAUAAAAUACAUCAGACACACCGAGUCGCAACAUUCAUUCGCAAGCAUUCUCGAAGCGUCAUAAACAAUGAUAAUGCCAUUUAAAAAAAAAAAACGCCAAAUUAAAUCCGUAAAAGUAGGUACUGGUGGUAGGACCUCUUGUAAGUCCGCACGGGUAGGUACCCCCACCCUGCCUAUUUCUGCCGUGAAGCAGUAAUGCGAUUCGGUUUGAAGGGCGGGGCAGCCGUUGUUACUGAAUAUGCAAUUUGGAAAAGGGCACAUGUCGCAUACUUUGUCAAAUACGUUUUUUCAUAUACAUGUAGUUUUGAGGUUUAUACCUACACCCAUUUUAUAAUAAUUCCAGUAAUUUUCAAUUGCUAAUUAACACUAAAAUAUAUCUCAAAAGUUAAUAUUUUAAAUUUCAAACAUGCUUUAGAAAAUAAUCAUGCUUUUUUUCAUUUCCUGAACAUUUCACAUUUUCAGAGAUGUGCCUUUUUGGAAAUUGCAUAUUCAACUAUACUGAGACCUUAGAACUGAUAUCUCAAGGUCCCAAGUACGUCAAGGAGUUUACGUAUAACGUCCCAGUGUGCUUAUUGUGAGUUUUUUAACGUUCUCGAUAGCGUAAAAGUUAACUCAAAUUUGUAUAGAGUUAGAACAGCGCCCCUAGCGGCAAACGAAGGGAAGCUAAACCGAAUCUGAACUUAAUUACCGAAUUAGUGGGACGUACAAUACAAAAUAAGCGUAUAGUAAUUACGUCAUAGUCAAAAACGAUGUUCAUUGAAUUUGAAUAAUUUUUAAUACGCUUUUAUUAGCUUCAGACGUAUGUAUGUUAGUAUGUAACGGAAUCUUUGAACAUGAUUUUGACCCCCUUCAAAACAUCGGAUUAACUCGGAAUUUGGCAUACUUAUUAAGGACUGAUGACAAUACAAUAUUUUAAACAGUUUGAUCCGUUAUCCUUACUAGGAUAAUCAGGAUUAGCGAUUUUUUGUUUUCCUGAAACCAUUUUUUUUGUGUGUCCCCAAUAGCUCUACUAUAAGGUGUUUCAGAAUUAUCCAUACUUUCUUGGACACCCUGCAUAUACUCAAUAUGCUGCAAUGCCUCAAGUUUUAUAAGUGCAUCCAUUCCGGGUGGUGGUUUCCCGGGAUCCGCCGAGUUCUAGCGGGGAAAGGGGGGGGUCAUAUUCAUUUCGCUUCGAGACCUAUCUUCGCAUUACCGGGAUUAUCGUUGGACACUCAAGCUCACAUUUCAACCGACGUUA